UGUUCUUGGACACUGCAUACUAUUUCAUGAAAGAAAACUAGUGACUUCAAUCUUCAUGUUCUUUUAAUGUUUGGGAAAACAAUAACCUGGAUUGACUUCACAUUAAAGGUACAUUGAAAAGAGUCGAGCAAAAGAAUGGGCACUAUUUUACUUGAGCAUAAAGAAUCAUUCAGCUAAUGAACUAUUAUUCGGCAUAAGCAAUUAUUCUAAAUAUAGCUUGAGCAAAGAUUUUGAAAAGCUGAAAACAUUGUUGUUCAUUCAACCUAAUCAAAGAAGCCAAGAAAAUCUCAGAGAGAUUCAACUAUAUCUAAAGAAGAAUAGGGCAUUUCACAGUUUGCCAAAGGAAG